AUCGGGGCUCAGGAGUUUGUUCCUGCGAUCUGCUUCUGUGACUAAGAUCAUCCACGAAAUCGUCGUAACGAUUCAACGGAAUCGGAGAUUUUUGCGACGGUCUAAAAUAACGUAAUAACAACAAUGUACAAAACAAGUAUACGACGUGUUUCUUGUAACACCUGUAUUUCUUAUUUUCAAAGACGUGUAAAAUGUAAACGAUUGAAAAUUCGUGACAUGUU
rnacentral:lncRNA from 1 species